ACAAAGAUGAGUUUCUACUUAAUAAAUGCAAGUAUUUAGUUGACAACGGCUUGCAAAACAGGGGAAUGCAUGGUAGUAAAAUAUUAAGAGGGGCUCUCGGUAACAAACCUGUUGAGAAAUACCACUCCUAGCCUUGAUUUCCUCAUCCUGAAACUAAGGAAAAAAUACCUUUCUUCUUCAUUUCCACAGACAACGUGACGGCCACAUGGAGAAGUAUUUGUAUGGGAACAUGAUUUGAAAGGUCUCUGGAGAAAUAUUGCAGAUAAAAGUGGCCACAAAUCUUGCCAUGGCAGGAAUGACUUGUUUCCACGAGUGUCCCCCAAAGUUCCUUGGAUCCAAAUCACCUGGCUGACCUGGCCAGGGAGCGUGAGGACAUCCCAUGGGCCCCAGGAAAGGAGACACGCUCUAGCCCUUGACUUGGGGCAGCCUGCCUCGACGGAACAGCUCCCUGCUCCACGGACACAGCUGUGUCUUUGUCACCAGCCCGUUAACUGACUGAACCCAAGCAACUCCAACUCCGUGUUCCCGUCGUACGGCCGCUGCCCUUUUUAGCUACCACCGCUAGGGGGCACCACCUGCUGCCUGCACCGCUCAAAACUGAGCGCUUCUCUCAACGCAGUUUACUCUCUGGAGCAAGCCUGGACCCACGUUUUAGAAGAAAAACUCCCGCCUCUAGUUUCGCCUCUGGCAGCAGGAAAUGAAUCUUCCACCAGCAUAAAUGGGAGCCAGGAUGGUGGUAGCCGUUGGGCACAUGGGUUUGAAAUUAGACAGAUCUUGGGCAAGUUACUUAACUUUUCUAAGCCUCAGUUUUCCCAUCUAGGAAAUGGGAUAAUACUAAUGUCUACUUCACUGGGUUGUCAUGAGGAUGAAAUGAGGUGUCUGUCAAGGCCUUAGCAGUGAAACUGACACGUAGUGGAAACACAAUAAAUGGUAACUGCAUGAUGAUCUAUUUAUCCACAUGGAGCAAAUAAAGGUUUCAUGUAGACGGA